rnacentral:rRNA from 1 species
UACAUGGGGUGCAAACGUUGCUCGGAAUUAUUGGGCGUAAAGCGCGCGUAGGCGGUUACUCAAGUCGGAUGUGAAAGCCCUCGGCUUAACUGAGGAAGUGCACCCGAAACUGAGUAGCUAGAGUACUAAAGAGGGUCGCGGAAUUCCCGGUGUAGAGGUGAAAUUCGUAGAUAUUGGGAGGAACACCGGUGGCGAAGGCGGCCAUCUGGGAGGGCACUGACGCUGAGACGCGAAAGCGUGGGGAGCAAACAGG